UUCAACAAAUAACAUGCAAUCUUCAUGUUUCAUAAUCUUUUAUGACAAGCUCAAGUACAGAUUACCCCCGAUUACCCCAUAAUGUGCAGAUUACCUCUUACACAUUUAACCAGACUGACAUACACGUUUGUCUUUCUGUAUUAUGCAUUCUCAAACAUGAACUGUCUAGACAUCUUUUGUCUAUAAUGAAGUCUUUCUUUGAACUUGUUCUGGAUCUGUGUAAUUAAACAUUGAACUAGUACUGGUUGACUGUGAACCAGUCGGUUCAGGUGAGGGAGGAAUGGCUGGAAUGGUGCCAGCAUUGUGCAGGAAGUAAGUAUUGUGUGGGUGUUCAGAAUGAACAUAUUUUACAAGAAAUUGGAGUGUAAAGUCAUCAAAGUGUUGAUUGCUGCUUUACCCAUCAUUUAUGUGCGUUUUGUAUUUUUAUGCUUUUGAGAGCAUUACAGGCUUAGUUUAGCAACAGCAAACUCUUGAAAUCAAUUGCGAGUUUAAUCUCCCUUAAAAAGGGUGAACAACAAAUUAGACUGGACAAGCUCUCUCCAGGGCUGCUGUACCUGGAGCAGGUGUGCAGGAUGAUGGAGAACAUUACAAAGCUACAGCAGCAAAAUCAAACUCUGCAGAAGGAGGUGGAGAUCCUGAAGAGUCAGCAUGCUGAAAUUGAGGAAGGGCAAGGUUUGCUCAAGAUAAAUCUUUCGUAUCUGCAAGUGUCUUUUUGAGGAACCUGACAGGAAAGAUCCUAUAGUGGAAAAUUUGCACAUUUACCUCAUUUAAAAGGCAAGAAACACGAAAGGCUGACACAGAAAAUAAAAGCAUUCAGCCUAAGAGGAAAACAAAACUGCCUAACAUCUUCAGGAGCAGAACGAUGACCACACGGUUUUGAAAUUCAUGUCUCAUUGUUGCCCAGUCAACGGCCUCACAAUGGGAAAGCACACCUUCCAAUUAUGUGAGGAUUAUGCUGCACUUACGUAAAACAUUUCUGUCAUAUUUUACAUUGUAGUGUUCAUGUUACUGUGUAUUUACUUCAGUAAGUACUGAGUAAUACUAAUAAACUACAUGUACUUAAUUUGUAUGUAUUUUGUAAAGUCAGCCGGUCAUUAUUGCAGAACAAACCCUGACAGGGUGAUCAGGUUUUGUAUUUAUUUUGCGAUAACAGUUGGCUGACUGUACAAUAUCCCACUUGUUACAAAGCUACUUAAUCAAUAAAUUGUUGGACAUGAAAAAUAUGUAGGAACUGUCAAUUAUACAGUUUAGCUAUUUAGCCAUGUAAUAAUAUUUUUUUUAUAUAUGUAACAUGGUCAUUGUAAUUUAAAGUAUUGCCAUUGCACCUUUCUUAUAACCUUCCAUUUUUCUCACAAAACAAUGGAGUCACUUAAUUUUGUGAUCUCAAUCUCAGUCAGUAUACCUUUGCUGCUAAAAUAAUGAUUUCCUUUAAAAUUGUAAACAUGUUCUCAGAUUUCUGUAUUCAAAAUAGCUCUAUUUUUAAUCAUGUGC